rnacentral:lncRNA from 1 species
GGCGCCGUUCCAGGCAACAAGUUGAUUCCAAACUCAACUUCCCGAUUUGAAGGCAAUCCUGGAAGCUUCUCCAGAAAGACAUCUUGGAACUCCUUUACGGUCCUAACCUUAUCCACUGUUAGACCCUCCUCUUCUAACUAACUUACAAAUGCCAAAUAGGCCUCACAGCCCUUCCGAAUCCACUUUUCGGCCCUUAAUGCCAAC